rnacentral:rRNA from 1 species
CCAGCAGCUGCGGUAAUUCCGGCUCCAAUAGCGUAUAUUAAAGUUGUUGCAGUUAAAAAGCUCGUAGUUGGAUGUCGAAGCCGGGAAACGAGUCCGUGCCUUUGUGCAUGUGAACUUGGCUUCCCGGUUCCUAUCUCUCGGAGACGCCGUCUGCACUUCAUUGUGUGGGCGUGUGGAUUCGGGGCUGUUACUGUGAGCAAAUCAGAGUGUUCAAAGCAAGCAUUAGCCUGAAUGAAUUAGCAUGGAAUAACAACGUAAAACUUUGGUUUUAUUUGUUGGUUUGGAAACCAAAGGUAUGGUUAAUAGGGAUAGUUGGGGGCAUUUGUACUCCGUUGUCAGAGGUGAAAUUCUUGGAUUUACGGAAGACAAACUUAUGCGAAAGCAUUUGCCAAGGAUGUUCCCAUUAAUCAAG